AUUGAACGCUGGCGGCAGGCCUAACACAUGCAAGUCGAGCGGAUGAAGGGAGCUUGCUCCUGGAUUCAGCGGCGGACGGGCGAGUAAUGCCUAGGAAUCUGCCAGGUAGUGGGGGAUAACGUCCGGAAACGGGCGCUAAUACCGCAUACGUCCUGAGGGAGAAAGUGGGGGAUCUUCGGACCUCACGCUAUCAGAUGAGCCUAGGUCGGAUUAGCUAGUUGGUGGGGUAAAGGCCUACCAAGGCGACGAUCCGUAACUGGUCUGAGAGGAUGAUCAGUCACACUGGAACUGAGACACGGUCCAGACUCCUACGGGAGGCAGCAGUGGGGAAUAUUGGACAAUGGGCGAAAGCCUGAUCCAGCCAUGCCGCGUGUGUGAAGAAGGUCUUCGGAUUGUAAAGCACUUUAAGUUGGGAGGAAGGGCAGUAAGUUAAUACCUUGCUGUUUUGACGUUACCAACAGAAUAAGCACCGGCUAACUUCGUG
rnacentral:rRNA from 1 species